rnacentral:rRNA from 1 species
UACGAAGGGGGCUAGCGUUGCUCGAAAUGACUGGGCGUAAAGGCGCGUAGGCGGCGGUCACAGUCAGAUGUAGAAAUUCCUGGGCUUAACCUGGGGGCUGCAUUUUGAUACGUGGUUGCUUGAGUGGGGAAGAGGGUCGUGGGAAGUUCCCAGUGGUAGAGGUGAAAUUCGUAGAUAUUGGGAAGAACACCGGUGGCGAAGGCGGCGACCUGGUCCUUGACUGACGCUGAGGCGCGAAAGCGUGGGGAGCAAACAGG